rnacentral:rRNA from 1 species
UACGGAGGGUGCGAGCGUUGUCCGGAAUCACUGGGCGUAAAGGGCGCGUAGGCGGCCUGAUAAGUAGGGGGUGAAAUCCUGCGGCUUAACCGCAGGGCUGCCUUCUAAACUGUCGGGCUAGAGCACGGUAGAGGCAGAUGGAAUUCCCGGUGUAGCGGUGGAAUGCGUAGAGAUCGGGAGGAACACCAGUGGCGAAGGCGGCUACCUGGACCAGCACUGACACUGAGGCACGAAAGCGUGGGGAGCAAACAGG